UGGAAGACAAUCUAGUGCAAAACUGUUAUC
rnacentral:piRNA from 1 species